AGCCAUUACGCCAUUAGUCAGGGGAAAAUACUUUUAUGGAACUACAAUUACAGUUCUCUCUACACUCUGAUCGAAUCGGCACCGGAGUUUCUGUCGCUGGCAUGGAACGAAGUUCCUCUCUUAACUGUAUCUUCCUGGCGUUGAUCUUCCCUUCCAUUUUUCCGUCGUCUUCUUCUUAUUUUGGUUGUUGGUAGUAGUAAUCAGUUUCAAUCAGCCAGAUCUUUU
rnacentral:misc_RNA from 1 species